GGUGUCCACACAGAUUGUCUGAUGAUAAGAAAGAGUCAAAAGCGUCUUGCGAAGCUGACAAGUGAUGUCCCCUUCGUCUAGAGGCCCAGGACACCGCCCUUUCACGGCGGUAACAGGGGUUCGAAUCCCCUAGGGGACGCCAAUAUGACUGACGGUGGGUGAAAGACACGGUCAACGCUAACCUAAAACUGAUUAGAGAUAGUCAGGUUUAUGUUAUCUGCUCUUUAACAAUCCGGAACAAGCUGAAUAAUUUGAAACGACGGCAUGCGAAUGUGAAUUUGUGUGUUGGUCGAGUCUCUCAAUAUACCCGCAUCCCGAGACAUUUUCGGGUUGUGAGGUUAAGCGACUAAGCGUACACGGUGGAUGCCUAGGCAGUCAGAGGCGAUGAAGGGCGUGCUAAUCUGCGAUAAGCGUCGGCA
rnacentral:misc_RNA from 1 species